rnacentral:rRNA from 1 species
UACGUAGGGGGCAAGCGUUGUCCGGAUUUACUGGGCGUAAAGAGCGUGUAGGCGGCCAAGCAGGUCCGUUGUGAAAACUGGAGGCUUAACCUCCAGACGUCGACGGAAACCGCGUGGCUAGAGUCCGGAAGAGGAGAGUGGGAAUUCCUGGUGUAGCGGUGAAAUGCGCAGAUAUCAGGAAGAACACCCGUGGCGAAGGCGGUUCUCUGGGACGGUACUGACGCUGAGACGCGAAAGCGUGGGGAGCGAACAGG